ensembl:lncRNA
GAGAAAGUAUACAAAACAGAAAAUGAAAACUACAUCCCAGAGGUACAGAAACCAUGGAGGUCACUUUUCUUAGACACCCACCUUGUAACGGGGUUUCAUGGGGCUGGUCACGCUGAUGGCUGGUGGGAUGAAAGCAGAAUUCCUCUUUCUGCCCUCUCCUUCCCAUCUGCUACCUAACUUCAGUCUCCGCUGCUGAAAUUUGGAAAGGACCAAAUCGCUUUACAUUUUUUUUUCUUUGUAGAAUAUCCUGAAAUCCUGGAAAAUCCUAUGGACUAAUUCUGUAUAUAGGGCAGAGAUAAAGAUGUCCAAAGUUUAUUUAUUUAUCUAUUUAUUACCCUACGAGAAGGCUUUGCCGUAACUACACUUGAUGAGAGAAGCGAAAAUGUCACAGGUCCAAAUUAAUUUACCGACCACAUUCGCCUGACUUGUUCUCUUGUUCUCUGUUCUUGCUGUCGGAUUGAGCAAGUGCUACAAGUUCUUUAGGAAAACACAUUGGUACAAGAUACACUCUAGUCAUUCACCUUUAGGUAAAUGUUGGGAAAACUCUUUGGUAUACAAAAGUGACACAAUUCGUCAUAAAACACCAAAGAAAUCCAAGCAGUGGCCCAGUGGAGAGGUUUUCUGGCCCAGUCGGGAACCAGUUGUGAAUACAUUCUUUGCUCUGUGGAGUGCUUAUUGACUGACUGUGCUGUGGUAGGUGUUAGUGCUAGACUCGAGUAGGUGCUUCCUUCCACAGAGCUUUCUGGGAAAGACUAGAGUUUGCAAGUUGAUCUGCUUUUGUCCAUGUUUCUCACAUUGCUGUAUCUUAGAAAAUAGUUUCAAGACUGAUAACCUUUGAUGUCGUGUUUGCAUUGUCUGAUGACAGAUAAAUCCUUAACAUUUCCCUCCACUUUAUUACUUACAAUGUAUAUGUCCAUCCAUGCCAUGCUAAGUGGGCUGUAGUUGGACCAAAUUAAGUAAGUGAGCCGUUGGAAUAAAAGGGAAUGAAAGAAUCCCAGUACUUUCCAGCAGUGAGGCCCUGGAUGUGUUUUAAGCAAUGCAAAUGUCUAAUUGUCUCCUGGCUGCGUAGUCAGUGUCAUUACAUUGUAGCAGUUGCCGCUCUAGUUUAUGAUGCAAAUCUGUCAAGAGAUGUAUGUGUCACCGCAUGGAUCUGAAAGGAAGAAUUUUCUGCAGCUGUUUCAAAGUUGUGGUCUGUCCUUGAAUCCUCUAUUAAUUACUGUGUAUGAGUCGGAUGGAGCCGCUGAAAGGGUGGGCCCCCAGCCUGCAGGAAACUUUCUGGGCUCCUAGUCUUUGAACUGAUGUAGGCAUUUGGGCUUGCUACUUGACCAUUCACACCCUGUGAAAAAGUCCCGCACUUUGAAGCAAAUACAAUUCACAGCACAGUACACACAAAACCCUUGGCAUAAGACAGCGAAGGUUCUUCUUAUUUUGUGGGCUGGUUGCUGUAGAAACGGAUAACAAAGGGCAGCCUUCCACUUCUGGUAUAAUUGUGUAGCUCCCUUUCUCUGGGCUUGACACCUGUCUGAAUAAGAGUGAUUAGAGCUGCGUAAUAUCCCCCUCGUGGCUAUUGAAUAUGUGACUCACGUACAAAACUGUGUAAGUUAGUAAAAUGUUCAUGUUCUUAUGUACUUGUUUGCUACUACUACAUUUUUGAGGUUUUGUAAAACAUUUUUUUUUCACAAUGUGAAACUGAAGGUCAAUAAAUUAUUAUAGAGAUUUUCUCUUCAUUGUGUGUGGGGGGGUCUUGUCUUUAUUGGAAUGCAGUGUAACUUCAGGCUUUGAAAACUUGAGCCUUUCUCUUUUCAUCAAAAAGGGUCAUUUUAUAUAUUUUUCUGAAUGUACUUUAUUUCACUGUUUUGUCACAUGUAUUUAUUAAAGUCUUGCACAUUAAAUAAAACUUUCAGC